GAGAAAUUUCCAGGGUAGCCAUAAACCAGAUGUUACUUCACCCGUACGUCCGGAUCCCAACCAAGGCACCGGCCAACUGACCUCCCCACUCCAUCCCUGUUCAGCUGGAAGUAGUCAGAAAGAAACUGCGCCCUAUGUCAUCAAAAAGUGAUCUGGAAACCACGAAAUCCAAAUGGUGCAGCCAUAAGGAGCAAUUCACCUGCGCCUCCAAGUAACUGCCUGAAGGUAAGAGUCCUUAGAUAGUGGCUGAAACCACAGAAGACGUGUGGGGCAGGUUGGGGGGAGGGCCGGGGAACAAACGGAGCUUUAUGCAAAGGGUUAGUUUUUAAUGCCGCAUAACACAUUCUGAUUAAUACACUAAACAUUUAAAUGCUAGAAAUUACUAUAACUGUAAUAACUAAGAAACAAACUAACGCAUAACUAAAAGAGGUAAUGAACAAUUUAAUAGCCUUUAAAACGUUGGAAUCUUGAUGCUUAGGAAAUGGAAUUUGUGGAGUUUCUGGGAAGGGGCCUUUGGAAUAAUGAAGGGCUAGCAAUUAGUGACAUUAUUUGACUUCACACCAAAUGUCUUUCUUGUUACUUUCAUACAGGCUCUGAGCAUAAUUACAGUCAUUUAAACAUUUUCACUCACAAAUAGGAAAGUUUUCUUUUUUGGAAAGAAUGGUAAAAAGGAA
rnacentral:lncRNA from 13 species